rnacentral:rRNA from 1 species
GACAGGGGUCUCGAGCGUUAAUCGGAAUCACUGGGCUUAAAGGGUGCGUAGGCGGGCCUGUAAGUGUCCUGUGAAAUCCCCCGGCUCAACCGGGGAACUGCGGGGCAUACUGCGGGUCUGAGGAAGGUAGGCGCCGAGGGAACAGUAGGUGGAGCGGUGAAAUGCGUAGAUAUCUACUGGAACGCCGAUGGUGAAGACGCUGGCGUGGGCCUUUCCUGACGCUGAGGCACGAAAGCGUGGGGAGCAAACAGG